AGAGUUAGAUCCUGGCUCAGGGUGAACGCUGGCGGCGCGCUAAAUGCAUGCAAGUCGAACGUGCUUUACGGGCAAGUGGCAGACAGCUGAGUAACGCGUGAGUAACGUGCCCUACGGUGGGGUAUAGCCUCGGGAAACUGAGAGUAAUCCCGCAUACGAUCUGUAGACUACAGUUGGCGGAUGAAAGCCCCCGGGCGCCGAAGGAGCGGCUCGCGUCNCUAUCAGGUAGUUGGUGGGGUAAAAGCCUACCAAGCCUAUGACGGGUAGCUGGUCUAAGAGGACGAUCAGCCAGAGGGGGACUGAGACACGGCCCCCACUCCUACGGGAGGCAGCAGCAGGGAAUUUAGGGCAAUGGGCGAAAGCCUGACCCGGCGACGUCGCGUGGGGGAUGAAGGCCUAAGGGCUGUAAACCCCUUAUCCCGGGGAAAAGAAAGGACGGUACCCGGGGAAUAAGCUCCGGCUAACUACUUGCCAGCAGCCGCGGUAAUACGUAGGGAACAAGCGUACCCGGAAUACUGGGCUAAAAGCGCGUAGCGGCUGGUA
rnacentral:rRNA from 1 species